rnacentral:lncRNA from 1 species
AUGGUUGAAUCUCUAAGAGGAAAGUCCUCCAGGACUGCCCUUUGGACCAACCCAUCAGAAGGUAAUCGGCAAAGGUCAUGCAGCCAUCCAGGCUGGCUGUCCAGGCUGGGAGGGCUUGACUGGGCUGAGACUCUGACGCACCAGGUUCAAGGGAACCUCAGCAUGCAGGAUGCACUUUCCCGGAGAAGGUUUGCCGUUUGCUCUGUCACUGGGCCUGCUUUGGAGGGACAGGCAGAAAUGGACGUGCCUCUCCAUCCACAGCCAUUCGCAACACUCAGGCCAACUCCUGAGGCUGGCCCUUUUGACUCAGAGACAUAAUAUGUGAAAUUCUUUUCUAUCAAAAGCUUAUUAAAUAAAAUUUAGUUGGAAAAACUGGAAAGAAGAAGAGAGAAGUCAUUUAUCAUCUCAUUCUCCAAAGACAGCGACCGUUAAUGGCUGGGUAGACCCCCUCCACUUGCUUUCCUCGAAGCUUUUCCUCCCGACUUACAGUCAUAUUGCUUAAGCAGUUUUGACGUACGCAUUUUUGACUGAGCGUCAUCACGGCCCCUCUGCCAGGUUAUA